AUUGAACGCUGGCGGCAGGCCUAAUACAUGCAAGUCGAGCGUGCGGCGGACGGGUGAGUAAUGUAUGGGGCCUGCCCGAAAGAGGGGGUUAACUACUGGAACCGGUGCCUAAUACCCCAUACUAUCGGUGAACCCAUAUGGGAUUAGCUAGUAGGUGGGGGAAAGGCUCACCUAGGCGACGACCUCUAGCCGGUAUGAGAGGAUGAUCAGCCACACGGGGACUGGGACACGGCCAGGACUCCUCCGGAGGCAGAAGUGGGGAAUAUUGGACAAGGAGGGAAAGCCGAAUGAAGACAUGCGGGGUAGAUAAAGAGGGCCUUAGGGUUGUAAAGUACUUUCAGCGGGGAGGAGUUACCCGCAGAGGAAGCACCGGCUAACUCCGUGCCAGCAGCCGCGGUAAUAC
rnacentral:rRNA from 1 species